CUGCAGUCAAUUAAGCUGACUGCUUUUUUCCUCAUGGGGCCGAAUGUGCAAUGACUGCAAACAGUAUUCUCCUCAGUAGUGUAUGCAGCCUGUUGCCCAUAUGGGUUGCCCCAAAGGGACCUUGGAGACAGCC